rnacentral:rRNA from 1 species
UGAGGAAUUUUGGGCAAUGGGCGCAAGCCUGACCCAGCGACGCCGCGUGGGUGAUGAAGGCCUUCGGGUCGUAAAACCCUGUGAGUUGGGAAGAAGCGAAGGAGUGCCAAUACCACUCUUAGUGACUGUACCAGCAGAGGAAGCCCCGGCCAACUACGUGCCAGCAGCCGCGGUAAUACGUAGGGGGCAAGCGUUGUUCGGAAUUACUGGGCGUAAAGCGCGUGUAGGCGGUCCGAUAAGUCGGAAGUGAAAGCCCUCGGCUCAACCGGGGAACUGCUUUCGAUACUGUCGGACUUGAGUGCGGGAGGGGAGAGCAGAAUUCCCGGUGUAGCGGUGAAAUGCGUAGAUAUCGGGAGGAAUACCGGUGGCGAAGGCGGCUCUCUGGACCGUAACUGACGCU